rnacentral:rRNA from 1 species
AUUGAACGCUGGCGGCAUGCCUUACACAUGCAAGUCGAACGGCAGCAUGAUCUAGCUUGCUAGAUUGAUGGCGAGUGGCGAACGGGUGAGUAAUACAUCGGAACGUGCCCUGUAGUGGGGGAUAACUAGUCGAAAGAUUAGCUAAUACCGCAUACGACCUGAGGGUGAAAGUGGGGGACCGCAAGGCCUCAUGCUAUAGGAGCGGCCGAUGUCUGAUUAGCUAGUUGGUGAGGUAAAGGCUCACCAAGGCGACGAUCAGUAGCUGGUCUGAGAGGACGAUCAGCCACAUUGGGACUGAGACACGGCCCAGACUCCUACGGGAGGCAGCAGUGGGGAAUUUUGGACAAUGGGCGAAAGCCUGAUCCAGCAAUGCCGCGUGUGUGAAGAAGGCCUUCGGGUUGUAAAGCACUUUUGUCCGGAAAGAAAUGGCUCUGGUUAAUACCUGGGGUCGAUGACGGUACCGGAAGAAUAAGGACCGGCUAACUACGUG